rnacentral:rRNA from 1 species
UACGUAGGGUGCGAGCGUUAAUCGGAAUUACUGGGCGUAAAGCGUGCGCAGGCGGUUUUGUAAGACAGGCGUGAAAUCCCCGGGCUCAACCUGGGAAUGGCGCUUGUGACUGCAAAGCUGGAGUGCGGCAGAGGGGAUGGAAUUCCGCGGUGUAGCAGUGAAAUGCGUAGAUAUGCGGAGGAACACCGAUGGCGAAGGCAAUCCCCUGGGCCUGCACUGACGCUCAGUGCACGA